UGGCAAUUAUUCCCUAGGAAACGUGGAACAUGUUUUCAUUUGUUAAUUGAUGUUGAUUUGGAUUGUUUUUUUCAAGCGUUUGCUUGCCCUUUAUUCAAAGUAGAAUUUUUCAUUGAAAAGGAUAAAAGGAAAAAGAAAACAUUUCCAUAUUUUCCCCCUCAUACUCUUUUACUCAGUAUGAUGAAGUUAUAUCAUUUUACUUUGCUCAUUUCUAGUCAUAAAUUUUUUUAAACUUUGUUAACAUUAUAAAAAAUUAUCUAUCCAAGGAUAUAUCAUCUUGAACAGACUGUGGGCGUUUGUGCAAUGGAUGGAAACGACUACAACUGAGGAAGAAUACAUAUUGAUGGCCGAACCUGAUCACAUAUUUGUAAGGCCUCUUCCUAAUUUGGCACAUGGUGAGUAUCCGGCUGGUUUUCCAUUUUUCUACAUUAAGCCUAACCAAAACGAGAAGAUCGUUAGGAAAUUUUAUCCUGGGGAGUAUGGUCCGGUUACAAAUAUGUUGACCCAAUUGGCGAUUCUCCUGUAAUUAUCAGGAAGGAUUUGUUGGAAAAGAUUUCUCCUUCCCGGAUGAAUGUUUCGUUGAGAAUGCAAGAAGAUCCGGAGACUGGUUAGACUUUUGGAUGGGUGCUGGAAAUGUAAGUGUUGGAAAAUAAGUGUUGGUUUAUUUUCUGUCCUUUCUAUUAUACCUGUACUUAUUUUUGAGGCUUCUUCUUGAUAAGGAAGGAAAUAAGUCAAACAUCAAAUCCAAUGCAUCAACGUCAUCUACUCCUAAUAUUACUCCAUCUGUUGAAGACACUCAAAUAGCAAACCAGCAACGGACACUUUCCAUACCAGUGGCCUUCUCAUAUGGCAGUAAUUCAAACAGUAGCUGAUCUGCUUUAAUUAUUUUCCUUUUUUUUUUGGUCAAUAUGGAAAGUGGAUUAUUAGCUUCCUUCCUUGUUGAAUUUCCCUUCUUACUCUCUCUUCUCGACAUCUGUAUAAAUUCUUCUCCUCUCUGUAAAGUCAAAACAACAAGAAACAAUGUACACAGCUGUUUAUUUCUUCAUGGUAUUAGAGCAUUAUUCCGCACAUAUCGCUGCCAUGGAUUCUCAAAAUGAUUUUUCCUCACAACCAAAUGCUAACACUAGAGCCCUUGUUCCACAAGAACCCAUCUUAACGAUUCAAUCCUUCCACCAGUGCACCAGUUCAGUUUUUGUCAAACUAAAUGCUUCAAACUUCCUUCUAUGGCGUUCACAGGUUAUUCCUUUAGUGAGAAGUCUCGGUAUGCACCACCAUGUGAAUUCCUACAUGAUGAAAAGGAGGCCCUUGUCAUAAAUCCAAAUCAUGGCACAUGGAUCAAUAACGAUGGGCUAUUGACAACUUGGUUGCUUAGUAUUAUGGCUAAUGAAAUUUUGAGUUUGAAUGUAGGAAUUGAUAGUGCUUAUCUGCUGUGGAAAUCCAUAGAAGACCAGCUGCUGCCAUCAACAAAGGAGCAGGAACAUGUUCUUAAGGACAGGCUUGCUUCACUCAAGAAAGGAAAAAGAAAAUAUUUCCAUAGUUUUGCCCUUCAUACUCUUUUAGUCAGUAUGAUGAGGUUAUAUCAUUUUUAUUUUGCUCAUUUCUAGUCAUAAAUUUGUUUAAAGUUUGUUAAAAUUAUAAAAAAUUAUCUACCAAGGGAUAUAUCUUCUUAAACAGACAAUGGGCGUUUGCGCAAUGAUUGGAAAAGACUACAAUUGAGGAAGAGUGUAAUAUACUGUGUGUAUAUAUAUAUAUAGAGUUAAAUAUAUAUAUAUAUAUAUAUUUUAAAAAGGUUUUAUAGCUAUUUUAUUUUAUAAAAAAAAGAAUUUUUAUAUAAUAGAUUAGGUUAUAUGUAAUAUACGGUGAAAAAUAUAUAUAUAUAUAUAUUUUUAAAAAAAGGUUUUAUAGCUAUUUUUUUAAAAGGAAAAAAAAAUUGAGUUUUUAUCCUAAUAGAUUAGGUUAUAAGUAUAUUUCAAUUUUAUUAGAAAAUUGAAAAAUAAAUAUUUAAGGAUAUUUACUCUACUUUUUGGUUUUUAUAAAAGAAAAAAAAAAUAUGUUUAUUUUUUUAUUUUACGUUGUUUUCAAUUUUGUGCCACUAGGGUAUCGGGUAAGUCUUCUUCUUCUUUUUUUUUUUUUUUUCUUCUAACCCUAAAAGUUAUUAGGGUUAAUAUUAAGGACUUCCGAUCUUAAUUUAGAGUUUUGGAAUCGAUUUAAGGUUGUUAAGGAUCUACUAUCUUUGGUGAUUUCGAUUUCUAAUCAAGUUUCGGGGCAUAAAAAGGAAGAUGUUGAAUCUUUGAAGUUGAUCAAGGUUGGUGUUUCUAAUCCUUUUAUGUUAUAUGAGAUUUAUUUGAGAUGUUUUGGGGUUAUAGAAGUAAUGAUUAAGGUUGAUUUGAAGUAUUAUUGUUAAAACCCUAAUCUGGAAUUUUUAUGGGGAUCUGUACAGAGUGACUGUUCAAAUUUAUUUAAAAUAUUUAAAGGUUUUGUUUGGCACUAAACUUUUUAUGAAUGAAAAUAUACAUAUUUAUGAAUCAGUAGAAAUUUAUUUGGGGUGAUUUAAAUAUGUUUUCAAUUGAUUAUGAAAUUUUGAAUUUAUGCAUUCUAUCUAGUUUUUCUGUGUGGCUAUAAUAUGAUUCGUGUGUAAGAAAUUUCAAAACAGACCCAAACGAAAUUAUUUUUAUUUGAAAAUUUAUAUUAUUUAUCCUCUAUAUGUAUAAUAUUAGUAUACAAAAAUUCAGCUUCAAAUUCUUUAUAUUUUGGCCGUGAUGAUUAUUUUAAAUUACUUAUAUUCAACUAUCUAAGUUUAUUUUCUGUUCGAUUCAAUAAAGAAUAAAAUUCAAUUUAAAAUAAUUUUCAAUCUUUAUUUGACCUAAUAAUUUUUAUAUAGCAUUUUUACUAUAUGUCAGGACCCGUCCAAAAUUCAUUACCGGAACCCUAGACAAGCCCUGAUCUCAGGGAAAUCCUACCGGACCCUCCAAUGGAGAAUCCGACAGAACCUCCCCUAAGGGUUGGACUUACCACAAACUUCUUGUACUGAAAACACACUUCCAUAUAUAUCCCCUUAUUCCUCCCACAAUACUACAAAUUGAUUCCACAAAUUCACAGCACUCCAAAAGAAUAACAGCAAUCCAGUGCAUAAUUAAUAACUAAAUGUCCAAUACAGUAUAUAGAGCAUUAUACAAAUAAAUGUGGAAUUUAUACAAUGAUAGAUAAGGAAGCAAUACAAGAUGGAGAGGAAAAAGGGAAGAAAUACUUCUUGGACUUUCGGCAAUGAACUGAGACGUCGGGCUCCCUCCGGACGAUCAACGUCUCCCAACCUAGACCUAAGGGAAUGGAAUUUAAAAAUAUGAGAUGCUAAUCAUCUCAGUGAGUGACCCUAACUACUGAACACUUUUAAUAUUAAUAAUAUAAUAAAUAAAGGGAUUUAAUUAAUCAAUACCAAACAAUUAAAUAAAUAAAUAAUAAUAACAAUUGAAGUAAUAUUUUCUCUCAAAACCCUCAUUUUCGGCCUUUAGAGCCUCGAUUCUCCCAAAUCGUCACGAAUUGGAGGAAAAGGACACCGGAUCUGGGUUCAAGGGGUCGGAAUUAGUGGAGAAGGACCGGCGGUGCAACUGGGUACUCGUCGGAACAGUGAUUUUUGGCGAGCCGCCACGGUCACCGGCAACUGUCGCCGGUGGCCGAUGGCUAAGAUAGGGGUUUUGUAGAUCGAGGGGAGAGGAUUCCAACAGGACCAGCGGUGAGGCAAACGGAGGCCGGACGGCGAAGAGAUCUGGGUUUGAAGAUUUUCGGCCCCUCGCUGGAAAAUACUCCGAUCCCGGUGCGUCGGAGGUCCGGUGGCCAUGAAAUUUGGUGGGCUGGCCGGACAUGAGGAGGUGGUGAGAGGUGGCUGGCUCGUGUGGCCUGAAAAUGGCCGAAAACGGGUCAAACGGCGGUGGCCGGUGGUGGAGGGGAAAAAUCGCCGUCGCCGGAAAACGCUCCGAUCCGGGCGCAUCGCCAGUUGGUUGGCCAUGCGAUUUUGAGGGUUGGCCGGGAAUGGAGAGGUGCUCCUGCCUGGCCGGUGUGUGUGGCCCUCCGGUGGUUGGACGGUGGCCAACCGAUGGUGGCCGGUCGUUUCUCUCUUUAGCUCUCUCUCUCCUCUCUCUCCUUCUCUAUCCUCCCCCCUGCCAUUUUGCCAAAAUAAAAGCCACCGUGGGUGAUACUGUUCACUCACAUGGACCUCUCAGAUGUCAACAUGUGGUGUUUCAUUGUUCACCAAUUCAAAAAUAUUAAAAUAUUACGGUAGUCGGAAAACUUCACACGUCCGUAACUUUUUAACCAGAUGUCCAAUUUAAGCGUGCUGCUAGUCUAUGAACUCGUAUCGACUAGUACUUCACAACCAUACAUGAGUCAACGCUCAAAUUUUCAUGAAUAAAAAGUCAACUCCGGCACCACUUGGACAGUUUGGAUCUCAACUUGUUUUCCUCAUAACUUUCAAACCGUAGCUCUGUUUUCAACGUGUUACUAGUCUACUAACUCGUGCCAACGUGUACUUCGUAACGGUACCUCAAUCAACUUAGAAUUCCAUCCAAGUCAAAAAGUCAACUUUUGACACCUUUGGUCAACGGUUAACUGUCAAAGUCAACAGUCAACGGACAACCUCGACUAAAGUUGGAAAAUUUCCGUUGUACUUUGGGACGGGGUGUUACAUAUAUAUUCUUUUUUUUUUUUAAUAUAUGAAGGGGGACCCACAUAUAUAAUAACCUAUAAAACACUUUAACACCUAAACACCUAACAUUUACUGACACAUGAGAGCUCUCUCUUUCUAAAAGCCUAAUCUACUUAAUGGAGUAGCUCUUUCACUCACACCAACCGAGAGCCUCCUUGGAGCUCACUUGUGUAGCUUACAUUACAUGACAGUCCAUCUCCUCUUUAUAUAGUUUUCCCAUGUCAGUUUAACAACUUAGCCAAAGCUUCUGGAUUUCUCUUCAAAGCCAGUGCUCCACUGUCAGGACCCGUCCAGGAUCUCUCACCGGAACUCUAGACAAGCCCUGAUCCCAGAAAAAUCCUACCAGACCCUCCAAGAAAAAUCCGACAGAACCUCCCCUAAAGGUUGGACUUACCACAAAUUUACCUGCACUAAAAAAUUACACUUCUACAAGCACUUCCUUAUUUCUCCCACCUUACUACAAUUUAAUCCACAACUUUCAGCACUCCAAUAAAAUAACAGGAAAUUCAUGCAGUAUUAAUACAAUAGGUCCAAUAAGUAUACAGAGCAUCAUACUACGGACGAGUGUGAAAGUUAUACAACAUAAAAUAAAAAAACAAAAAACAACAAUAAUACAACAGAAUACAAGGGAGAAGAACGCCUUGAAUCUCAACAGCAGCAACUGUCGGGCUUGCUUCUGUUGUCGUCUACCAACCCGAACCUAAGGGAACGGAAUUUAAAACAAAAAUAAUAUGAGAUGCUAAUCAUCUCAGUGAGCGACCCUGACUAGCGUAAGGAGUUAAUAACAAAGGUCAUAUUAAAUAUAUAAUAUACGAGAUAGAAAUAAUUUAAAGGAAAAGUUUCCUCUCAAAGCCCUCACACUGCACUCAAUUUAGAAAGGUUCCCUUUUUAAAAUAUUUCACAAAAUCCAGCAAUUAUAUUUCCCCAAAAUCAGGAUAGCAAAUAAAUAAUUAAUUAAAUAGUACAUAAAUGAAAUAUCAACAUUUAGAAUACAAAAUCAUGCAAAUAAUAAUAUGGAGCACCACAAUUUAUAUGAAGAUAUUUAAUCAAUAAUUACCGAUAAAAUGCAACAAUUUUUUGGAAUCCAAUGCACUCAGAAAAAUAAUCCGGAAUAAAGUAAAUUUUUAAUAACAAAUAAUAAAUCAUAUAAAAAUGCCAUGGAAAUUAUUUAUUUGAAAUAAAUGGUAAAAUUUAAAUAAACUGACCAUUUUUAAUUUGAAAAGUAUUUCCAAAUAAUAUGCUUAAAAUAAAUUUAAAACGAAAUAGCCUGACGCACUACACUAUAUAUCAGUGAUGCCCUACGGUACUCAGCGUCCCGAGCACCCUCAGGCGGGGGUUAAAGAGAGAACCAGUAUAUGGUCGCUUCGGCGUCCCGACAAUGCCGCUGCUAAAACCUGUCAUCCCGGCUUAGGAGUAGGGCGGUUAUGUAUUUUACCGGCCUGCCCUCAGGUCCUUAGGCAACUCACGGGAGACUAAAACCUACGCGCUAAUCACAACCUCAUGUAUGGUGCAGAACACCGGUACUGCAUAAGUGAGUCUAAAAUAAUUAAAAUAAAAUAAAAUAAAUACCAAUAGCCCAUUUUUAUUAUUACCAAAAAUUUCCGAAAUUUAUCGUGGGAGCUAUAAAAAUCUCCAAUCCCACAUUCCUUGCAUUUCUCACCAUAAAUCAUCAGUAUAGAAAAGAAAUAUGGUUUACUCAAACCAUGAAAUCAACCACAUCGCAUUAUAAAUGCAUAAUUACCUUUUUAAAACAUACAGUACCAUCAUAUCAAUAUUUUUUUCUUCAAAUCCUUUACAUCAAUUUUUUCCCCAAAAUAAUAUAUAAGGCUCACAAAAAUAUUUAAAUAUGUUUUCUCUUAAUAAGCCCUUGAUUAUACAUGAAAAUUCUCGGUAAAAAUAAUAAUAAUAACAAUUAAGAAUUUAAAUCAUAAAUUCUUUGAAUUUCCGCAAUAUUCAAUCAUGGCAUCAAUAUAUAUAAAUGUAUGCAUAUAACCAAUCAUCCAAAAAUUGACAGUGUAAUAUAAAUACACAAUUUAUAAAAUUCCAACCACAUACAUAUAUUUUUUUCAAAUAUUCAAAUAUCACCAAUUUAAUAUCAAUUAUCACCCGAAAAUAGUUUUAAGGUGGGUCACUCACCUCAAGUGCGUGUAUCAAUCAAGAUCCUCCGCAGGAUCAACUCCCCUACUCACCCGUGCACCUAAAAUAUCAACAUUACACAAUAUCGAUUAAAAUAAUAUUUUAAUCGUGUAAUUCUCAACCGGGUACCCGGGGGAGUAAACACAAACGACAACCAAAAUUUACAAGCAAUAUACCGAAUCGAAGCUUGCGAGGCGGGGAUUAAGAAUCCGGUCUUACUUCAUGGAGAUCGGACCGGUGGUGGCCGGAAUCUCGUCGGAAAGCUUUCGGCCUUUAGAGCCUCGAUUCUCCCAAACCGUCUUGAAUUGGAGGAAAAGGACACCGGAUUUGGAUUCAGGGGGUCGGAAUUAGUGAGGAGGGGCUGAAGACUUGACUGGGUACUCGCCGACAAUGGAUUUUCUGGCGAGCCGCCGAGCCCCACCGGAAACCUUCGUCGCCGACGGCGCGUCCGAUGGCUGGUGGCCGAGAUUUUUGAGGGUUUUGUAAAUCAAAGGGAGAGGGUUCCAAUGGAAUCGGUGGUGACAAGAAUGGAGACCAGAAUAGGAAGAUAUGGCCGGUGAAAGGAAACGGCGCCGCCGCCGAAAAAAUGGCCGAUUUGGGCACGUCGGCGGCCGGCCGGCGGUGAGAUUCGGUGGGUGGGCUGGAAUUCCCACGGGUGAGAGACCGGUCAGGUGAGUGUGGCUUGGGGUGGCUGGAAAACGUGCAAAUCGGCGGUGGCCGUUGGGUUCUCUUCCUCUCUCUUUCUCUCUCUCUCUCUCUCCUCCCUGGUUUUUCCCCUGUGAAAUGGUGAAGUAAUUCAGCCCUGGGUGCCACUGUACACACACAUGGCUUAACGAGAAUGCGACACGUGGUAUGAACAGUGCACACGUUUUACAUAAUAAAAAACAAUAAAAUAAUACGGUAAUAAGGAAACUUCGUAGAUCCAUAACUUUUUAACAGUAUGUCCAAAUUAGACGUGCCGCUAGUCUAUGAACUUGUAUUGAAGAGCACUUUACAACCAUAUAAAAGUCAAAGCAAAAUUCUACCCGUAGCAAAAAGUCAUAAUUUAACUCCAUGGUCAACCUCGGUCAACCUCGGUCAGCGUGCAAAAAUUCCGGUGUACCUCGGGAUGGGGUAUCACAUCCACAUUGCAAGCUUAGAUUUUUCUUCACAAAUUCCAAUGCUUUACUUGCCAAUCAAAUGUAUAAAAUAUACUAGUUAAUUCCAGAACCUUCGAAGUCAAUAUUGAUCCUUCAAUUCUCCCCCUCAAUAUUGACUUCCCAUUCUUUUCUUCUUGAGUGUUGAAAAUUAUCCCAUGCUUCCUUUGGUGUCUUGGGAUCUCCAAUAGGCUUCGAUAUUAUCUUCUCAAUGGUAGUCUUAAUUGCCAACAUGCCUUAGCAGCUUUGAUCUUCCACUUCAUCAAAGCAGCAGCAUUCACCAGUAACAUGCAUGAUCACCUUCAAUGAUCUCUUAGAGAUUGUAUCAUGCAAAUAUAACUCCAUAUACAACGACCACAUAUAAUAUAAUCUAUGCUAUUGAGCUUCCACAUACCCUCAAUCUUUUGAAGGUCAUCCAUCGUGGUUUAGGUGGCAAUUAUUCCUUAGAAAUUCAUCCUCCAUUAUACUUACGGAUGUGAUUACAAUUUAAAGGGUGAGCUCACAUAUGGCAAAUUUGGAGAGUGGCGAUUUGACAAGAGAUCAUACCUACGUGGACUCCAGCAAGAAACCUCUCCCUCCCGCCUCCUGGGUGCCUGAAAGUGUGGUAUGUGUAUGGGAAUAUGAUUAACCUUUAAUGAAUAUGAUUAACCUUGAAUUUCUUUCUUUCUAGUUUGAAAAGUAUAUGUUGCUUACCCCACCUUUAUUUCAUGUUUAUAUCUGAUUUAGUCUCCGUAUAGUUUAUCCAACAACUUACUGGAUGUUUUUGUUACGGGUUUACUUUUUUGCCAUUAGUUUGCCGUACUGCUAUAAAACCUCCCAACUUCCUAGCAUUCUGUUUUCACAGUUUGUCUUAAACUUCUAUGCACCGUGCUAUGUUUCUCCUAAGACAACAUAUAACUCCCAACUUUUGAUGUGCACUUUGCUUAUAUAUGCACUUUUGAUGUGCACUUGGUUUUUGUCCUAAAAAACAGGUUAUUUAUUUAUGGGGAAGCUAGAGACUUUGAAUAUAUAUUUUUUUUCUAGAUAAGUUGCAUCGAGGAUAACUGACCUGAGUGAAUUGUAUAAGCACGUAUAACGGGUACAUGCUUUAUUAUAUAAUUGGUGCUUUUUCUAACCAAAAAGAAAAGAAGACAAAAAGAUAAAGGUACUUUUGCUUGAAGCUUGGAAAGGGAUGCUAGAGGACUGAUGACUAAUAAUGACCUUGACACGGAUGGUGGAGUAGCUCUGGGACUUUUGGUUGCCCCCACAUGAGGUGUAAAGCAACCUAAGUAAGGUUCAUUGUUUGGGCCCCAUCCUCCCAUGGGUCCCUCACUCAUAAAUCACUCUAAAUAAGAGUUCCCUAAAGUCAGGAAUGGCGGGGCAUCAACUCAACAGGCAUUGCAAACAUGGGGUGAAAGAAAAAGAAGAUAUUACCUUAUUAUACUUUCAGAAAGAUAAGGAGAGCUCUUCCUCAUGCUAAGAGACGAGUAGUAGCUAGAAGAGGACGUUCAUGCCCCUUACCUAAGGGUGUAAGUGAAUACUUUUCAAAUCUAGUAGAGUCCAGUUGAAAUAAAAGCAAAAUUGGUAAGUAAGUAAUAUGAUAGCUUAAAACUCAAAAAUGUGAUCCACGUUAUAGUUGAUUAUACCAGUGGUGAAGAUAAGGAAAGUGAUAUUUUUGUUUGAUAGCAUCUGCCGUCGCUUGAUUGGACGAAAGCAAAAGGAAAAAAAAAAUGAAAAGAAAAAUGUGGUGUUACAAAAUCAUUCUUAAUGGACAAUACAAUAAUGUUUCUUGGUGCCUUAGCUUGACCCCAUCUACUCAAAAUUAUUGAGGGGGUGAGCCAAAUUCAAUGUCCAAGUCCAAUUAUUCACUUUCUGUCUUAAGCUUCUAAUAUUGAUUCUGCCAUUCUUGGUUCUUCUGGAAAUUGAAAUUUCUCUCUUCUUCUACACUGUCUGGCGCUAAUUUGCUUCAAGUUUCUGUAGUCUUCACUCGUUCCAAUCUUCACCAAAACAGAGUUUCACACUUGCUGGUAGUUUACUGUCGUUGUGUGAAUCCUAAGCCCACCUUGAGAAAACAGAGCUACGCAUUUCCUGGUUUGCGCUUGUCCCCUUCUUUUGUUGCUGUCGCCGACUCGCUAUCUUUCUACUUUUAAAUUCUAGUAUUCACUUUGCAAAAUUUUAAAAAAAUAAAUAAAUAAAUAAAAAUUAUUAAGCAGUUCCUUUGUCGGUGUGAAAAGUCAGUUCUUCUGUUUCAUCCUUUUCUGGUCAUCUUUGUUCAUUUUGUAGUAGAUUUGCUGGUUUGCCCUCUUCACUUUGCAAAUUUAGAAAGAAAAAAAAUAUAUAUAUUAAGCAGUUCCUCUGUUGGAUUGAAAAGUCAAUUUCUCUGUUCCUUCGAUCUACCGGUUUGCUCUCCUCAUUUGUUUUUACUUUUCUAUUCUACCCCUUUUUAAUUUCUGACAAACCCUGCAUUUACUUGGCCCCCAAAAAAAAAAAAAAAAAAAAUUAAACAUACUCUUUCUUGAAGCUUCACACUAUUGGCAUUGCAAAAGAUAUGUUGGAUAAUAUGCAAAGUGUAUUUAAAAUUGGAGGCUUGGAUAAAAUGGAGGAGCUUAAGAAAAUAUUACUUUGGUAAAAGAAAGGAAAGUGGCCGAGACUAAUUCUAAUUUGAAGGAAGAGAAGAGCUAAAAAAUAAAGAAGGAAUGCACAUUAUAAUUGCUCUUUCUAAUUUUUCAUUGCUAAAUUAUCAAAUUCUCUCCAAAAAGUUUGAAGUUUAAUGGAGAUUACCUUUUCAUGGCCUCCAAAUUGUUGUUUUAGAAUUUCCCAUGCAGCUCUAGAUUUUGCUGCAUUUGAUAUUCUAGGGAAGAUGCUUUUACUUACCCCUUGUUGAAUGAAAAGCAGUGCUCUUGCAUUUCUUUGGA